rnacentral:rRNA from 1 species
AACGAACGCUGGCAGCAGGCUUAACACAUGCAAGUCGAGCGCCCCGCAAGGGGUGCGGCAGACGGGUGAGUAACGUGUGGGAAUCUACCCAACUCUACGGAAUAACCCAGGGAACUUGGACUAAUACCGUAUACGUCCUCCGGGAGAAAGAUUUAUCGGAGUUGGAUGAGCCCGCGUUGGAUUAGCUAGUUGGUGGGGCUAAUGGCCUACCAAGGCGACGAUCCAUAGCUGGUCUGAGAGGAUGAUCAGCCACACUGGGACUGAGACACGGCCCAGACUCCUACGGGAGGCAGCAGUGGGGAAUAUUGGACAAUGGGCGAAGCCUGAUCCAGCCAUGCCGCGUGAGUGAUGAAGGCCCCUAGGGUUGUAAAGCUCUUUCGCCGGUGAAGAUAAUGACGGUAACGGAGAAGAAGCCCCGGCUAACUUCGUGCCAG